rnacentral:rRNA from 1 species
UACAGAGGGUGCGAGCGUUAAUCGGAUUUACUGGGCGUAAAGCGUGUGUAGGUGGCUACCUAAGUCGAUUGUGAAAUCCCUGGGCUUAACCUGGGAAUUGCAGUCGAUACUGGGCAGCUCGAGUUCGGUAGAGGGUGACGGAAUUCCCGGUGUAGCAGUGAAAUGCGUAGAUAUCGGGAGGAACAUCGAUGGCGAAGGCAAUCACCUGGGCCUGGACUGACACUGUGACACGAGAGCGUGGGUAGCAAACAGG